UCUAUGGAGAGUUUGAUCCUGGCUCAGGACGAACGCUGGCGGCGUGCUUUACACAUGCAAGUCGAGCGAUGAGAUCCCUUCGGGGAUGGAUUAGCGGCGAACGGGUGAGGAACACGUAAGGAAUCUACCUUCAACACUGGGAUAACUCCGGGAAACCGGGGCUAAUACCGGAUACGAGAACCGCAGGCAUCUGUGGCUCUGGAAAGUUUUUCGGUUGAAGAUGACCUUGCGGCCUAUCAGCUUGUUGGUGAGGUAAUGGCUCACCAAGGCGACGACGGGUAGCCGGCCUGAGAGGGCGACCGGCCACACUGGGACUGAGACACGGCCCAGACUCCUACGGGAGGCAGCAGUGGGGAAUAUUGGGCAAUGGAGGAAACUCUGACCCAGCGACGCCGCGUGCGGGAUGAAGGCCUUCGGGUUGUAAACCGCUUUCAGCAGGGAAGAAGCGAAAGUGACGGUACCUGCAGAAGAAGCACCGGCUAACUAUGUGCCAGCAGCCGCGGUAAUACAUAGGGUGCAAGCGUUGUCCGGAAUUAUUGGGCGUAAAGAGCUCGUAGGUGGUUCGUAACGUCGGAUGUGAAACUCUGGGGCUUAACCCCAGACCUGCAUUCGAUACGGGCGAGCUAGAGUGUGGUAGGGGAGACUGGAAUUCCUGGUGUAGCGGUGGAAUGCGCAGAUAUCAGGAGGAACACCAAUGGCGAAGGCAGGUCUCUGGGCCAUUACUGACACUGAGGAGCGAAAGCGUGGGGAGCGAACAGGAUUAGAUACCCUGGUAGUCCACGCCGUAAACGGUGGGCACUAGUUGUGGGAACCUUCCACGGUUUCUGCGACGCAGCUAACGCAUUAAGUGCCCCGCCUGGGGAGUACGAUCGCAAGAUUAAAACUCAAAGGAAUUGACGGGGCCCCGCACAAGCAGCGGAGCAUGCGGCUUAAUUCGACGCAACGCGAAGAACCUUACCAAGGCUUGACAUAUACAGGAAUAUGGCAGAGAUGUCAUAGCCGCAAGGUCUGUAUACAGGUGGUGCAUGGUUGUCGUCAGCUCGUGUCGUGAGAUGUUGGGUUAAGUCCCGCAACGAGCGCAACCAUCAUCCUUAGUUGCCACCUUUUGGUAUCGAAAGAUGUCAGGAGAGCACUCUAAGGAGACUGCCCUGGAUAACGGGGAGGAAGGGGAAGAUGACGUCAAAUCCGUAUGGCCUUUAUGCCUUGGGCUACACACGUGUUACAAUGCCUGCUACAGAGGGUUGCCAACCCGCGAGGGGGAGCUAAUCCCAUAAAAGCAGGCCCAGUUCAGAUUAGAGUCUGCAACCCGACUCUAUGAAGCCGGAAUCGCUAGUAAUGGCGGAUCAGCUACGCCGCCGUGAAUACGUUCCCGGGCCUUGUACACACCGCCCGUCAAGCGAUGGGAGCUGGGGGUACCCAAAGUCUCCGAGCAAUCGGAGCCUAAGGUAAAUCUGGUGACUGGCGCUAAGUCGUAACAAGGUAGCCGUACGGGAACGUGCGGCUGGAUCACCUCCUUU
rnacentral:rRNA from 1 species